ensembl:snRNA U6 U6 spliceosomal RNA
UUGCUCAUUUUGGCACCAUAUAUAGUAAAAUUGGAAUGAUACAGAGAAUCCUGGCAUGGCCCUAGUGCAAGGAUGUCAUGAAAACUCAUGAAAUGCUCCACAUUUCA